rnacentral:lncRNA from 1 species
ACUCUUAAAGCAAUGCACUUUUUCUUUUAUUAUUAAAUUUAACUCUUUAUUCUAGGAACCCCAGGACUUCCUGGAGCAAAAGGUAUUAAUGGUCCUCCUGGGAACCCUGGCCUUCCAGGAGAACCUGGUCCUGUAGGUGGUGGAGGUCGUCCUGGACCACCAGGGCCUCCAGGUGAAAAAGGCAACCCAGGUCAAGAUGGUAUUCCUGGACCAGCUGGACAGAAGGGUGAACCAGGUCAACCGGGCUUUGGAAUCCCAGGACCCCCCGGACUCCCAGGACUUUCUGGUCAAAAGGGUGAUGGAGGAUUACCUGGCAUUCCAGGAAACCCUGGCCUUCCUGGUCCAAAGGGAGAACCAGGCUUUCAGGGUUUCCCUGGUGUGCAAGGUCCCCCAGGCCCUCCUGGUACUCCAGGUCCAGCUCUGGAAGGCCCUAAAGGCAACCCUGGGCCCCAGGGUCCUCCUGGGAGACCAGGUAUGUACAUGAGUGGUAGGGGAAUGGUCUGUUUAUUCGUUAAUUUAUUUCAUUUUGCUGGCAG